rnacentral:rRNA from 1 species
CCGCACGCGUGCUACACUUGACGCAUACAGCGAGUACGUCCCAGCUCCGCGAGGCAGCUGGUAAUCAGCAAUAUGCGUCGUGAUGGGGAUAGAUCUUUGGAAUUAUAGAUCUUGAACGAGGAAUUCCUAGUAAGCGCAAGUCAUUACCUUGCGCUGAUUAAGU